rnacentral:rRNA from 1 species
GACGAACGCUGGCGGCGUGCCUAAUACAUGCAAGUCGAACGCUGAAGGAGGAGCUUGCUUCUCUGGAUGAGUUGCGAACGGGUGAGUAACGCGUAGGUAACCUGCCUGGUAGCGGGGGAUAACUAUUGGAAACGAUAGCUAAUACCGCAUAACAGUAGAUAUCGCAUGAUAUCUACUUGAAAGGUGCAAUUGCAUCACUACCAGAUGGACCUGCGUUGUAUUAGCUAGUUGGUGAGGUAACGGCUCACCAAGGCGACGAUACAUAGCCGACCUGAGAGGGGGAUCGGCCACACUGGGACUGAGACACGGCCCAGACUCCUACGGGAGGCAGCAGUAGGGAAUCUUCGGCAAUGGACGGAAGUCUGACCGAGCAACGCCGCGUGAGUGAAGAAGGUUUUCGGAUCGUAAAGCUCUGUUGUAAGAGAAGAACGAGUGUGAGAGUGGAAAGUUCACACUGUGACGGUAGCUUACCAGAAAGGGACGGCUAACUACGUG